rnacentral:rRNA from 1 species
UACAGAGGGUGCGAGCGUUGUCCGGAAUCACUGGGCGUAAAGGGCGCGUAGGUGGCCCGAUAAGUAGGGGGUGAAAUCUCGAGGCUCAACUUCGAGGCUGCCUCCUAAACUGUCGGGCUCGAGCAGAGUAGAGGCAGGUGGAAUUCCCGGUGUAGCGGUGGAAUGCGUAGAGAUCCGGAAGAACACCAGAGGCGAAGGCGGCCUGCUGGGCCUUGUCUGACGCUGAGGCGCGAAAGCGUGGGGAGCGAACAGG